rnacentral:rRNA from 1 species
UGCCCUAGUAACGGCGAGUGAAGCGGCAACAGCUCAAAUUUGAAAUCUGGCUCCCCUUGGGGGUCCGAGUUGUAAUUUGCAGAGGAUGCUUUGGCAUUGACGGCGGUCUAAGUUCCUUGGAACAGGACAUCACAGAGGGUGAGAAUCCCGUACGUGGUCGCCUGUCCUUGCCAUGUAAAGCUCCUUCGACGAGUCGAGUUGUUUGGGAAUGCAGCUCUAAAUGGGAGGUAAAUUUCUUCUAAAGCUAAAUACCGGCCAGAGACCGAUAGCGCACAAGUAGAGUGAUCGAAAGAUGAAAAGUACUUUGGAAAGAGAGUCAAAAAGCACGUGAAAUUGUUGAAAGGGAAGCGCUUGCAGCCAGACUUGCCCGCAGUUGCUCACCUAGGCUUUCGCCUGGGGCACUCUUCUGCGGGCAGGCCAGCAUCAGUUUGGGCGGUUGGAUAAAGGCCUCUGUCACGUAUCUCCCUUCGGGGUGACCUUAUAGGGGAGGCGCAAUGCAACCAGCCCGGACUGAGGUCCGCGCAUCUGCUAGGAUGCUGGCGUAAUGGCUGUAAGCGGCCCGUCUUGAAACACGGACCAAGGAGUCUAACAUCUAUGCGAGUGUUUGGGUGUCAAGCCCGAGCGCGCAAUGAAAGUGAACGGAGGUGGGAACCCUUUGGGUGCACCAUCGACCGAUCCUGAUGUCUUCGGAUGGAUUUGAGUAAGAGCAUAGCUGUUGGGACCCGAAAGAUGGUGAACUAUGCUUGAAUAGGGUGAAGCCAGAGGAAACUCUGGUGGAGGCUCGCAGCGGUUCUGACGUGCAAAUCGAUCGUCAAAUUUGGGCAUAGGGGCGAAAGACUAAUCGA